rnacentral:rRNA from 1 species
GAAAAAGAUAUUAAGGGCCAUAGGUGGAUGCCUUGGCUGGUAGAGGCGAUGAAGGACGUACUAGGCUGCGAUAAGCCUCGGGGAGCUGCCAAGAAGCUUUGAUCCGGGGAUUUCCGAAUGGGGCAACCCAGCAUAUCGAGAGGUAUGUUACCCUUCGGGGGGCGAACCUAGGGAAGUGAAACAUCUCAGUACCUAGAGGAAUAUAAAUCAAACGAGAUUCCCAAAGUAGCGGCGAGCGAAAUGGGAUUAGGACAAACCGGUUGUUUACAACCGGGGUUGCGGACUGCAUACGGCAUUGCGAGUCGAUAGAAGAAUGAGUUGGAAAGCUCGACCAUAGAGGGUGAUAGUCCCGUACUUGAAAUUGACAAACAGCUAGCAGGAUCCAGAGUAGGUCGGGACACGUGUUAUCUUGACUGAAGCCGGGGGGACCACCCUCCAAUCCUAAAUACUACUACCAGACCGAUAGCGAACUAGUACCGUAAGGGAAAGGUGAAAAGAACUGCGGUGAGCAGAGUGAAAUAGAACCUGAAACCUAUGGCUUACAAUCAUUCGGAGCCCUAUUCUUUAUGAAGGGUGACGGACUGCCUUUUGCAUAAUGAGCCUGCGAGUUGUGGUGUCUGGCAAGGUUAACCAAACGGGAAGCCGUAGCGAAAGCGAGUCUUAAUAGGGCGAAUUAGUCAGAUGCUGCAGACCCGAAACUAAGUGAUCUAUCCAUGAGCAGGUUGAAGCUGGUGUAAGAGCCAGUGGAGGACCGAACCGGUGGAUGUUGAAAAAUCCUCGGAUGACUUGUGGAUAGGGGUGAAAGGCCAAUCAAACUUAGUGAUAGCUGGUUCUCUCCGAAAUAUAUUUAGGUAUAGCCUCGAGUCGUAACAUGAAGGGGUAGAGCACUGACAGGGCUAGGGCUGCUUACCGCGGUACCAAACCCUUUCAAACUCCGAAUACUUCAUGCGUAAUCUCGGGAGUCAGGCGGUGGGUGAUAAAAUCAAUCGUCAAGAGGGGAACAACCCAGACUAACAGCUAAGGUCCCAAAGUCAUAUCUGAGUGGAAAAGGAUGUGGAGUUGCUGAGACAAUCAGGAAGUUGGCUUAGAAGCAGCCAUCCUUUAAAGAAAGCGUAACAGCUCACUGAUCUAGCGAUUCUGCGCCGAAAAUAUAACGGGGCUAAGAUAUGCACCGAAGCUUUAGAUUUGGUAUUUAUACCAAGUGGUAGGAGAGCGUUCCAAACAGCGUUGAAGGUAUACCGGUGAGGAGUGCUGGAGCGUUUGGAAGUGAGCAUGCAGGCAUGAGUAGCGAUAAAAGCAGUGAGAAUCUGCUUCGCCGUAAACCCAAGGUUUCCUACGCGAUGCUCGUCAUCGUAGGGUUAGUCGGGACCUAAGUCGAGUCCGAAAGGGGUAGACGAUGGCAAAUUGGUUAAUAUUCCAAUACCGACAAUUAUUCGUUUGAGUGAUGGGGGGACGCAUAGGGCUAAUCGAGCUCACUGAUGGAAUAGUGGGUCGAAGGACGUAGGUUGAAACAUAGGCAAAUCCGUGUUUCGUUAGACCGAGAUCUUACAGGCCGAGCAAGCUCUUCGGAGUGCGCUUGGAAUCGAUGAUGCCGUCGUGCCUAGAAAAGCCUCUAAACGAGAAUAAUUGUUGCCCGUACCGUAAACCGACACAGGUGGGUGAGAUGAGUAUUCUAAGGCGCGUGGAAGAACCCUGGUUAAGGAACUCUGCAAACUAGCACCGUAUCUUCGGUAUAAGGUGUGCCCGCAGUAGGUGAAGAGAUUUACUCUUGGAGCCGAAACGGGUCUCAGCAAAGUGUCCCUCCCGACUGUUUACCAAAAACACAGCACUCUGCUAACUCGUAAGAGGAUGUAUAGGGUGUGACGCCUGCCCGGUGCUCGAAUGUUAAAAGGAUGUGUCAGCGCAAGCGAAGCAUUGAAUUGAAGCACGAGUAAACGGCGGCCGUAACUAUAACGGUCCUAAGGUAGCGAAAUUCCUUGUCGGUUAAAUACCGACCUGCAUGAAUGGCGUAACGAGAUGGGAGCUGUCUCAACCAGGGAUCCAGUGAAAUUGUAGUGGAGGUGAAAAUUCCUCCUACCCGCGGAAAGACGGAAAGACCCCGUGCACCUUUACUAUAGCUUGACAUUGCUAUUGGGAUACUUUUGUGCAGGAUAGGUGGGAGCUGUUGAUGCUGUGACGCUAGUUACAGUGGAGGCAUCCUUGAGAUACCACCCUUGAGUAUUCUGAUAGCUAACUCGCAUGUGUUAUCCACAUGGAGGACACUGUCUGGUGGGUAGUUUGACUGGGGCGGUCGCCUCCUAAAAAGUAACGGAGGCUUACAAAGUUCGGCUCAGAAGGGUUGGAAAUCCUUCGUAGAGUAUAAUGGCAUAAGCCGGACUGACUGUGAGACAGACAAGUCGAACAGAGUCGAAAGACGGUCAUAGUGAUCCGGUGGUUCUGUGUGGAAGGGCCAUCGCUCAAAGGAUAAAAGGUACGCCGGGGAUAACAGGCUGAUCUCCCCCAAGAGCUCACAUCGACGGGGAGGUUUGGCACCUCGAUGUCGGCUCAUCGCAUCCUGGGGCUGGAGCAGGUCCCAAGGGUAUGGCUGUUCGCCAUUUAAAGCGGUACGCGAGCUGGGUUCAGAACGUCGUGAGACAGUUCGGUCCCUAUCUUCCGUGGGCGCAGGAGAGUUGAGGAGAGCUGACCCUAGUACGAGAGGACCGGGUUGGACGUACCACUGGUGUACCAGUUGUUCUGCCAAGAGCAUCGCUGGGUAGCUACGUACGGAUGUGAUAACCGCUGAAAGCAUCUAAGCGGGAAGCCAACUCCAAGAUGAACUCUCCCUGAAGUUCCCUUGAAGACUACAAGGUUAAUAGGCUAGGUGUGUAAGAGAAGUAAUUCUUUCAGCUGACUAGUACUAAUAGAACGUUCGUCUUUAUCUA